UGGAAUUCCAUUGAAGUGCUAUGGCUUUCAUGAAGCAUGAAAUUGUGGUUUUGACAUGAGAAUUCUAAUAUGGUCUUAGUUAGGGGACCUGCAAUGCAAACAUAAGUUGGUCAGAGAAAGGUUACAAUAAAGACUCUUCGAUGCUCAAGGUAGAGAGGAAAUUAUUUUAUAGUGAUAGAGAGAUAAUAACUAUGUAGAGAGAGAGAGGAGAAGGAACUCUUUCUUGUGUUUAACUGACCCUAUUUGUAGGAAAAGUAAUAUGAGCCUACUCUUUGGUAUAUUUUAUGAAA
rnacentral:misc_RNA from 1 species